UUAACUUUGCCUGCGCAACGGUUCGCUGUAUUGCGAUUAAAAGGGAACCGGGUGAAAAUCCCGGACAGACCCGCUGCUGUAAGCCGCCCUUAUAAUAGGGUGCGAACAAUGAAGCCACUGACAAUUUUUCGGGAAGGCGUUCGCAUCCGGGUGGUAAGUCAGAAGACCUGCCUUGCGUUUUUUACCGUC
rfam:Prevotella sp. CAG:1058 genomic scaffold, scf125